rnacentral:rRNA from 1 species
CAGGAUUAGAUACCCUGGUAGUCCACGCCGUAAACGAUGUCGACUUGGAGGUUGUGCCCUUGAGGCGUGGCUUCCGGAGCUAACGCGUUAAGUCGACCGCCUGGGGAGUACGGCCGCAAGGUUAAAACUCAAAUGAAUUGACGGGGGCCCGCACAAGCGGUGGAGCAUGUGGUUUAAUUCGAUGCAACGCGAAGAACCUUACCUGGUCUUGACAUCCACGGAAGUUUUCAGAGAUGAGAAUGUGCCUUCGGGAACCGUGAGACAGGUGCUGCAUGGCUGUCGUCAGCUCGUGUUGUGAAAUGUUGGGUUAAGUCCCGCAACGAGCGCAACCCUUAUCCUUUGUUGCCAGCGGUCCGGCCGGGAACUCAAAGGAGACUGCCAGUGAUAAACUGGAGGAAGGUGGGGAUGACGUCAAGUCAUCAUGGCCCUUACGACCAGGGCUACACACGUGCUACAAUGGCGCAUACAAAGAGAAGCGACCUCGCGAGAGCAAGCGGACCUCAUAAAGUGCGUCGUAGUCCGGAUUGGAGUCUGCAACUCGACUCCAUGAAGUCGGAAUCGCUAGUAAUCGUGGAUCAGAAUGCCACGGUGAAUACGUUCCCGGGCCUUGUACACACCGCCCGUCACACCAUGGGAGUGGGUUGCAAAAGAAGUAGGUAGCUUAACCUUCGGGAGGGCGCUUACCACUUUGUGAUUCAUGACUGGGGUGAAGUCGUAACAAGGUAACCGUAGGGGAACCUGCGGUUGGAUCAC